AGCUGUGACCUCUUGGCUGCAGGUCUGUGGCAGCCUCGUGAGAGCUGGUUUGGGGGUGCUGGGGGGGGUUCCUGCUCCCUUCCAGAGGUCGGCGUGCAUGGCAGCCUCCUCUCUCUGCUCCAGGCUCCUAGAGCAGCAGUGGGAACCUCUGGAAACGUGGCGAGGGAUUUCAAAAGCUGGAGCCCUUCUGGGACAUCCCCUUGGUGGGCUUAGUCAACAGCCUCAAGUUCUCAGCAGUUGGUGACUUCCUGGGGGCCUCGGGCAGGAGCACAGGCUUGGCCGGUGGUGGGGGCUCAAAGAAGCUAAACCCAGCAUUUGCAUCAUCCCCCUGAAGUGGAGGACCACAGCCCUGAAGGCCCCAAACAGCUCCUGGCCCCUGAGCCCUUGGCCCCAGAGCCCCUGACACAGAGGAACUGACACAGCUCAGUCCUGGGACUUGGACCAUGUCAUCGUAGCUCCCUUGUGAAGCCUUUCACAGCUGUGCCACCCACUGGGUUAAGACUUUGAUGUCUGGGAGUGGUGCAGGAUAGAAGUCCAUGAACCCGGUCAGGGUUUCCUUUGUGGAUUGACCUUUUGCCCUUCCCUACUUGACCCAAAUGGUUGUGUGGUCCUAGUCCCUGCAGAUUCGCUUUGCAGGGUUCCAGCUCCCGCGGUCCUUUCCCCCUUUAAGCUCCAUUGGCUGGAAAAGGAUGCAGGUGCAGGAGCCUGAGAAAGCAGUUCCCAAUGUCAUGAACCUGGUGGAACCUGAUGGCUCCUGCUGGUCCCUGGGGACAACAAGCACCCUGUAGCAAAGUACCUGGAGUGCUCUGAGUCCAGAGACUUGAAAGCGUUUUCUGCAGAACCCCUCCUUGUUUACCCCACCCACAACCCUGGGCCGCCAGGCUACCUCAGUGACACAGAGACCUUGACCAUCUGGGGCAAUGAAACCACGUCAAGGGACUGCGACAGCACACGCUCCUGGACAUCCCAGCAGCAGGGCGAGAUCCACAGCGACGCCAGAGCAAGGAUGCCCGGCCUUCCCAGUCAUCUCUCAACGUGCCGUCCUCCAGGGAUGAACUAUGCCUGCUUUCCCUGGGACUCCCCUGACAGCUGAACCUACUUUAGCUUUUCACCCUGGAAAGCUGUAGAGCAGCUCUUCAUGUGGUCUCCUUCCCACGGCUUUGAACAGCAAAGCACAGUGGUUGGUCCUGACAACUAACCAAGCUCCUCGGUCUGGGUAGGAGAUGGUGGUAAGAAGCUUGGUGUGGCCUUCAGAAGCAGGACAUCUGUGUGCUGGUGAGCAUCCAGCUUGUUGUCAUGUUUCCCUGUGGAUGCGAGUACCACGUUACUAGGUUGUUCCAUCUCGGCUGGAGUUGUGGUGGGAAAGGUGCACCAGAAGGGCAGGGUCCCAGCUUGGCGUAACGCCCGCGGCCACAAUCUAGCUGAUUGGUUAUUUUAUCUUCAUGCACGGGGGGUGGGUGUGUGUGGACAGAAAUGUCUAUUUAGCAGGUUCUGUCUGUGCUGACAAGGGCUGUUUUUGUCGCUGUUUUCAGUUCCUUGGCAGGUGUUGCCCGAGCUUUUUUCCUACGCAGAAUUAACUUGUUUUGCAAAAGCAGGAGCCAGUUGAAACACGUGGUGUUUUUCUGCUGUUUUUUCCACUUUCCAUGUGCUUAUUUUAUCUUUGACUCGCCUAAUGGGCUUGAAAACUGAGCACAGGUGGGAACACCAGCUUGACCCACCCCUGAGGCUUUUUUCCAUCCUUUUUUUUUCUUUUUUUUUUUUCCCCCCUCCUUUUGGUAAGGGGUUUUUGGCUCUGCUGUGGAGCAUCUGAGCUAGGCCCCAGGAGUCCCCAGGAGAUGGAAAAGCCACCCAGCAGUGCCUGCCCCAGGGAGGGUGGUGACAGACUGGUGGAAGCUGGGACCAGGUUUCACCAAGUGUAAGUAGCAGCUUGUUUACAAGAGAGGUUCCAAGCUCCCUUCCUGCAGAUCAUCUCCUUUCUUUGGGCUUGUCACCCUAACCUGACAGGUCUGCCCUCGCUUUUGUUGAAGAAAACUGCUGUUGUACUUGCAGUAUGGCAGCCUGGAAUUCCUAGCUCACAAGUAGAUUGUAUUUAUCCCGAAGGAAAUCCAGGAAGGUUUUGCUGUUGUGGUUUGUUUCCCUGGGCAGUUCAAGUAGAAAAUUCAGGGUAAUCUUUCUUUUGCUGCUGUAACGGGAGAGGCCCUUCAGUGCCAAAGGCAACUGCCACAGUUGAGGGACUUGCAGUGUGGCUUGUGGCACUUGAGGUGUCUCCCCCAGAGCUGAAGUGACUUGUGACAUGGCAGGUGCGGACAAGGGGGGCAGGGGACAAGGGACUGUCCUAAAAGGUAGAAGACGCGGCUGUGAUGGAACCUCCAAACGCUUGCAUUGUGAGCAGGGGAAGGGGACAACGGGGAGGCUGGUGAUGUGUGUGGAAAAGAGCCCAGCAAGCUCAUGGUUGAGGCCAGGAGGAAACAAGACAUGAUGGAGACGCUGGGGAAAAGAUGGAAACACUCAGAACAAUAUUUUUGGUAGUAGCUUGCUGCAGCAAUAAUUCAGUGACCCAAAGGAGAAUGAUUUAAUGAAGAAGUUGUAAAACUUUUGUUACUAAGUUAGUGACAACAGAAAUCAUUGAACUGAAAGCUCCAACAGUGGCACAAAAGAUUCCGUGGCAACAGAGCUGGGAUGGCUUUUGCUUUGCUGGCAUUGCUCGUUAGCUCCUUGCAGCUCCUUACAGCCCUUCAGCGUGUGCCUGGGCUGGGCACAGUUCCCGCUGCUGCUGCCGCCGCGCACUGGGGGUGAGGGGAGAGGCUGGAGUUGGACUCAGCCUCUCCAGCCGCGUGCUGGGGAGACAGAGCACCAUCCUCAUCAGAGCUGGUAGGAAUGAGAAGAACUGCACAGCAGUAUUGCUGACAGGUCCUAGUGUUAGAAGUGAAAUGUUGUUUUCGCACCCUAGUGUUAGGAAGAUAAUAGGUUGUUUUCUGCUGUCAUGAAAAGAAACUUUAUGGUGACUGCAGAGAGAAGUGAGAUACCUGGGCAUUCCAAGGACACUGAGGUGGUUUAUGGUCCAAGAAACUGAGGGACUUGAUUGUGCUGCAUCUGGGGGAGCUGAGAUAUCUGAACAUGGAGAAGAACAUAAGGCCCGCGGUAAAGACAGAACAAAGUCACUUCUAUGUUACUCCUCGAGGCAGGAUGGCACCAGAUGAUAUAAAUCAUUUGUGUGGUUGGGAAGACAGCCGAGGAGGCAAGAAAGGUCAGAAUUUAACCUUAAAAGGUAAAAAGUAAAUGCCUAGAAUGGAAUGUGUAAACAGGGGCGGGAAACGUAUAUGGGAAUUAGAAGCGUCGGAUAGAUUGUAAACCCUGGAGUACCCAGGCAGUGGGGAAACAGGGGAGGGAACCUUGUGUCGGGAACAGGGAAUAUAAACAGUUACCUUACUAUGAGGUGCGCCUGCUUGUUUAGGUCACCCCUUCUUGCCAGAGUGUAAAUAAA